UUGAAAGGGAAACGAUUGAAGUAGUGUUAUGGGUAAAAGUUUGGGUGGAUUUGUGGGGUUUGAGGAGUUAAAGNUAUGUUUNAUAUUGUNAUUUGGGUGUAUUNCGUAUGGUUGGUUAAAUAAUUUUGGUGGUAUAAAAUGAUGGAGGAAUGUAGUUGAUUUGUAUUGAAGUGUUAUAGNUGGUAGAUGUGAUGAUGAGAUUGAGGAUUGAAGGAUANUUGGGGUANUGUUGAUUUGAUGUUGUUGGUGNGAAAGUUGUUAGGUUAUAAAGNGAUGGNAAUAGGUUAGAACGGGUUAAANNCGUUAAGGAUGUUGACGUA
rnacentral:rRNA from 1 species